rnacentral:tRNA from 1 species
GAGGGUAUAGCUCAGUGGUAGAGCAAAUGCUUAGCAUGCAUGAGUCCUGGGUUCAAUCCCCAAUACCUCUA